rnacentral:tRNA from 1 species
GCAGUGGUGGUUCAGUGGUAGAAUUCUUGCCUUCCGUGUGGGAUAACCAGGUUCAUUCCAUAGCCACUGCA